rnacentral:misc_RNA from 1 species
GCGAGGUUAUGCUGGAAGAAUACAUGGAGUCCGGAUCGGACGUCAGGGAAGGCGUCGGCCGGACCAAGAGCCUGACUUACGAAGAUCUGGACGAGCUCAAGGGAUGCCUCGAUCUCGGAUUCGGGUUCAGCUACGACGAAAUCCCAGAGCUCUGCAGCACCCUCCCCGCCCUGGAGCUCUGCUAUUCCAUGUCCCAGCGAUUCCUCGACGACCAGCAACAGAGC